UGGGAAACUGCCUGAUGGAGGGGGAUAACUACUGGAAACGGUAGCUAAUACCGCAUAACGUCGCAAGACCAAAGAGGGGGACCUUCGGGCCUCUUGCCAUCGGAUGUGCCCAGAUGGGAUUAGCUAGUAGGUGGGGUAACGGCUCACCUAGGCGACGAUCCCUAGCUGGUCUGAGAGGAUGACCAGCCACACUGGAACUGAGACACGGUCCAGACUCCUACGGGAGGCAGCAGUGGGGAAUAUUGCACAAUGGGCGCAAGCCUGAUGCAGCCAUGCCGCGUGUAUGAAGAAGGCCUUCGGGUUGUAAAGUACUUUCAGCGGGGAGGAAGGGAGUAAAGUUAAUACCUUUGCUCAUUGACGUUACCCGCAGAAGAAGCACCGGCUAACUCCGUGCCAGCAGCCGCGGUAAUACGGAGGGUGCAAGCGUUAAUCGGAAUUACUGGGCGUAAAGCGCACGCAGGCGGUUUGUUAAGUCAGAUGUGAAAUCCCCGGGCUCAACCUGGGAACUGCAUCUGAUACUGGCAAGCUUGAGUCUCGUAGAGGGGGGUAGAAUUCCAGGUGUAGCGGUGAAAUGCGUAGAGAUCUGGAGGAAUACCGGUGGCGAAGGCGGCCCCCUGGACGAAGACUGACGCUCAGGUGCGAAAGCGUGGGGAGCAAACAGGAUUAGAUACC
rnacentral:rRNA from 1 species